rnacentral:rRNA from 1 species
GACGAACGCUGGCGGCGUGCCUAACACAUGCAAGUCGAACGGAACUUCUUUAAAGGAUUUCUUCGGAAUGAAUUUGAUUAAGUUUAGUGGCGGACGGGUGAGUAACGCGUGAGUAACCUGCCUCUGAGAGGGGAAUAACAUUCUGAAAAGAAUGCUAAUACCGCAUAACAUAUAUUUAUCGCAUGGUAGAUAUAUCAAAGAUUUAUCGCUUAGAGAUGGACUCGCGUCCGAUUAGUUAGUUGGUGAGGUAACGGCUCACCAAGACUGCGAUCGGUAGCCGGACUGAGAGGUUGAACGGCCACAUUGGGACUGAGAUACGGCCCAGACUCCUACGGGAGGCAGCAGUGGGGAAUAUUGGGCAAUGGGCGCAAGCCUGACCCAGCAACGCCGCGUGAAGGAAGAAGGCUUUCGGGUUGUAAACUUCUUUUAAGAGGGAAGAGCAGAAGACGGUACCUCUAGAAUAAGCACGGCUAACUACGUG